GUCCAAUGUAGUGUUGUGGUUUAAGUGUUGGACUAUGACUCUGGAGACCAGGGUUCAAAUCUCUGCUGGACC